GGACGAACGCUGGCGGCGUGCUUAACACAUGCAAGUCGAGCGGUAAGGCCUUUCGGGUACACGAGCGGCGAACGGGUGAGUAACACGUGAGUGAUCUGCCCUCAACUUCGGGAUAAGCUUCGGAAACGGGGCCUAAUACCGGAUAUGAUGUCCUGCUUCAUGGUGGGGUGUUGAAAGUUUUGGCGGUUGGGGAUGGGCUCGCGGCCUAUCAGCUUGUUGGUGGGGUAAUGGCCUACAAGGCGCGACGGGUAGCCGGCCUGAGAGGGCGACCGGCCACACUGGGACUGAGACA
rnacentral:rRNA from 1 species